rnacentral:lncRNA from 1 species
UUUGAACUGGCUUUUACUUGAUUGUAAGCUGCUGAUAAGACAAUGCUCAUUUAAAAGUUAAAUUUUGUAUAUCACUAGUUUUAUUUGAAAUUAGAUUUACAUUCUGCACUUAGGUCAGCCAACACAUGUUCCCCCUUACCUCCUCCCUUAAUACAGAUACUUCUCAAAAUUAUCAAACUUUUUCCCAAUUGAUGGUUUGGCAUUCAAGGUCUUAGAGUAGCCAGCACCUGGUAGUCUUAUUGCCUUCAGAUUAUUUGCCUUUGUAAUUUACUCUUAAGGCAGGUGAUAUUCAUUUUUGUUGCUGUGGAAACCUUUUUCAUUACCACAAAUCUUUGCAUAUGUACAUACUCAAUACCACAGAAUCUCAAAUUUGAACAUAAGAUAAGGAUGUGUCUUUUGGAUGUGGUGUAACUGUGAUUCUAAUUUCUCAUGUAUAGUCUUGAGUAGAGCUCUUUAACUUUGCUCAACCAAAGCAGCAUAUACAAAACAAGAGAAUAUGGGAAUAUUUAUGAUCUGCCACACUUUAUUAUGCUCGUAUUUAUUUAUUGCCUUUCCACGUUCUAUGCCUCUGCUUCUAACAGAGUGCAAGACAGGCAUUUUAUGAAUAAUGUUAGGGUUUAAAUCUGGAAUGUCCCUUCAAAGUCUCAUGUCACAAUCUGCAUAGUCCCCAAUGCAGCAAUGUUCAGAGGUAUGGUUUUAGGAAAAUGAUUGGAUCAUGAGGGCUCUGACCUCAUCAGUGGAUUAAUCCAUGGACUACUGGUAGGUAAGACCUUUAUGGAGGAAGGAAGUCACUGGGGGCAUGCCCUGGAAAGGUUUGUCAUCUCUGUAGCUGGCCUCUUCCUCUUGAUUUCUCUGCUUCCUGGCUGUCACAGCUGAGCAACUUUUCUUUGCCAUGCCCUUCCAUCAUGAUGUUCUGCCUCACGUAGGGCUCAGAGCAAUGGAGUUGACUGUGGACUCAGAUCUCUGAAAUGGUGAGCUGAAAUAAUCUUAAGUCCUAAGUUGUUCUUGUCAGGUAUUUUGCUCACAGCUAUGCAAAGCUGGCUAACAGAUCAAACUAGGUUUAUUCAGGUGGACAUUUUUAAUAUGAAUACAAAUGUUAGCUGAGAUCAUUUUAGAUAUCCUAUUGUUUGACUACCUUAUCUUGGUUUAAAAUGGGUGAGACUUGUGAACGUGGUGUGUGUGUUGUAAAUCCAACCACUGAUACCUAAUGAUUAUUUAAUAAUUGGAUUCCUAGCUUUAAUGAAUAAAGAGCUAGAAUAAAAGAAUCCCCCCAAAUAGUAAAAUGCCAAAAGUAAAAGGAUUUGAAGGUGAGCUCAGAGUUUGCCUUGGAAAACUCCCCAAGUGAAGAACAGUAAAGUUGAAGAACUGCUCAGUGUCUUUAAUAUCUGCCUUGUCUCAUUUCUCUGAAUUGUGUGAUAUAGUUUACUGAACACUGAUUUAAUAAUCAAAAAUCUUAAUUAUGGAUUGGUACUUAACUAUUUUCUCUGUCAGUCUGUGCACUGACUUUAUUCAUUAGUGGCACAGGGCCCAAGUAGCUAUCUGAAAUCCUUAUUUGCCAUUCUUUUAUUAUUAUUCCUUAGUUCUGAAGGUGUCUUUAUUUGGUUACUUUUACUGAUUGAGGUCCCGUGGUCCUGUUAGGAUAAUAUGGAGUAUUUAAAUCUAGAACAGUGAAAUAUAUUUUUUUUUUUUUUAAUAGAAAAAGGACAGGUGGUUAGAGUAACAGGAAAUCUCAAAAUAGAGGCCCUUGUUCUUUUACUCUAAGAGCUCAGAAACUUAGUAUUUUUCAGUGGUAUAAAUAUUAGUCAUGAGGAUGAGUAUACAAAAUGGGAAGCUUGGUCAGGAGUGGUUAUUCCUCUAAAAAAUAAGGUAGUUCAGAUCAUCAUUCCCUGUGAGCUGGUAGACAUCUUUCACCUCAGCCUGGGACAGGAAGAACUACAUAGAGCUGUGAAAUGAUAAAAACCAUUGAGGUUUGAGGGUGUGACCGGAAGGUCUGAAGGUGUGAUCACAAGCUGUGUGCAAAGCUUCUAGCUAACUGUAUCACCAGAAAGGAAUGAGUAAAAUAUGUGUUUUCCUAAAUUAAAACAAAAACAAAAACAAAAACAAAAGCUUUUGCAGCAAAGCAGCCAGAAAAUAAAUGAAUACAUAUUUAUGUUUAUAUGUAUAUGUUUUAUGCAAAAGUGAAUUUAAAAGACAAAGUUCUAGAGCCAAUUUUUCAUCUUUGUUUUAUUAAUUUUGUUAUAAUACAGUUUAGUACUUCCAGUUUUGUGCUGCUUUGAUCAAAGACUCAUGUUAGGAAUUUUAAUCAGUUCUCUCUGAAGUUACUUCUAAAGUUAAUUGUCUUCUCAUUAAAAAAAAAAAUUGCCUUUUUCAGAAAUUUAGAGCUUAGUAAGAAAAAGUUUAGAGGAGCAGUUACACAAUGUAGCUUUCUAAUCACUUGUAUCAUUCUGUUCUAAAACUGAAAAAAAUCUAGAUUUUAUGGUCAUUUACUCAACAUUUAUCUUUUUGCUGAUCAAGCACACUGGUAGGCAUCAUGCCUCUUAUUUGUGCUGCUGUUACAAUAGUGAAUAAGACAGAUAUGGUACUCACCUUUGUGGACUUAAUAUUAGAAGAGGCAAUAUGUAAGAAGUAUAAGAAAAAGUGCUCUGACUUCUUUAGCCUCCAUCCUGAGGACUCUCCACCCAUCACUGGCUAUGUGGAUGUAAAUUAAAAUGGGCAAAAAACCUUAAUGUCGCCAAUAUCUUUAUGGGGCAAUAUAAUAUAAAUUUCUUGAUCUGAAGCCAUAGAAUGGUUUUUCUAAAGCAGUAGUGACAUACUGCUGUAUGUUUUACAGUUCCUAAAUUAUGUGCUGUCCUUACCUUGUUCUUCCAAAUACUUGCAUUCCAAGUUUGAUGUGGUUGGAUAAAGAGUGUGCAUUGGUUUAUUUUAUGUUACUGUAGCAGAACACCUGAGAGUGGGUAAGAAUUUUAUUCUGGCUCACGGUUUUGGAGGCCGGGAAAUUUAAGAUCAGGUGGUCUCAUCUGGUAAGGGCCUCAUGAUGUUUCAACUCAUGGCAGAAAGUGAGGACAAUUGGAGUGCAUGGAAGACAGAACACCAGGAGUGAACUUGUUUUCAAACAACCUGCUGUGACAGUAACUAGUCUUGCCAGAGAGGCAUGAAUUAUUCAUGAGGCUCCAUCCCAUAACCCAAAAGCCUCCCACUGCUUUCUUCAUCCCAAUACUAGUGUACUGGGGUCCAAGUUUCAAUAUGAGUUUUCGUGGGGACAAACCAUAUUCGAACCACAACAGUCUAUUAGCAUUUCUGGGUUGCAGUGCUGGUAUUUCCACUUUAUAGAAAUUAGGAGAGGAAACCAACAAACCAAACAAAAAAUCCCAUCUUUUUUUGAAGUCCAAGAAAUCCCAUCUGCAGUACUAAUUUCAUUUUAUUCUUCCAAGGCUAUGAAAUGGCAAAACUCAUAUAAAACAUGAACAAACUGAGUUUUGAAGAUUCAGUGAUUUAUUCAAAUUUUUAUGACUAGGAAGAAUUUGAAUCUUGGAAUCCAAGUAAUAAUAAUAUUUAGAAUUCAGUGAGCACCUCCUCUAUAUAUACUAGGUUAUAGUCAAGCACUUAUAUGCCUUAGUUCUGACAGCAACCUUGGAGGGCAAAUAUUACUACCAUUUUACUGUGUUGAAUCUGAGGCCUAGAGAGCUAAGAGACUUGAACUAAGAGAACUAGAGAACACAAGAGAGCUAGAACUGGUAUUCAAACACAUUUUCCUGAUUCCUAAAUUCAUGCUUUGUUGCAGUCCAUUCUGAAUUCAUAGUCUAUCCAUGUCCUAUA